AGGUUGUUGAAGUGGAAGAGAGGAUGGAAAUGAGAGAUUUCUUGUUUUGGAACUGAGUUUGCUAGUUUUGGUAUGGAUGGAGAGCUCCAAUGCAAGCCUUCUCCUUCUAAAAUAAACUUAGCAAUAAAUCUUGGGGGUAUACUUCACUAGGAUAGUCAUUGACGCUAUCGAACCAUAUUCAGUUGGUCCAAGAGAUGUAGAUGAUGUGAAAGUUGGAGCUCAUAUGAAGCAUGAGGAGUUGGACGAUUUUACGGCUUUAGAUUUUAGAUUUCAUUUAUAUUGAUUUUGUACUUUUCUGCAUUUUAAAGUCCUGAGUCAUUGGUUUGUAUAAGCCCUGUGGGCAACUACUUGUAUAUCUUGUGUAGCUGAAAUGUAUAUAUGGAUUUUUCCUUUAUGCUUGA